AAAAGAACUUCCCUUGAUAUAUUACUGAAACAGCACAUAUCGAUAUCUGCAAUCAGCAUUUGAAAAUCCAGGAAACAGCUAAGACAAACACAGAAUUUGACUCAAGACAAUAGACAACACUGAUUGCUCUAUUAAUACACCUGCUCCUAAUUAAUGGCAGAACAGAGAAACACUUAAUAUUAUUAUUUUUCUUUUCUCCUGCUUUGAAACUAUUUAAUGUAGAUAGAUUAGGAUAUACUACAAUAGCGAUUUUUCUGAAUUUUCAAGGGCACUUGGGCUUGUUGCCUCGGGUAGUCAUGUUGGUGUAGCACUUGCCACAUUUCUCCCUGUUGCCAUAAGUUCCUGGUGGCACACAUUUGCAUCUGUCACAGCAAGUCACGCAAGCUCUUGCACAUAGGUUCUUCCUGGAAUGUAAUUUGCAUCUCUCUGCACAAAGGGGGAUGCAAUCUGCCACCAAAAUCAUCAAACACAUUGUCACUGAAACUUGCAUCAAGCAAGCAAAAAGAUAUGUAACUUUAGUUCAUGUUAAUUUCCUCAAAUGCAGGAAAAAAGACAUAUGUUACCUGCUCUUGUCCUGACUGGGGGCAUUGGUGAACCAGUCGGUGGUUUCACUGGUGGCAAAGGAGUUGGAGGCUUGACCACUGGUGGAGAAGGAGUGGGUGGCUUCACCACUGGUGGUGCAGUAGUGGGGGGCUUGACUACUGGUGGAGCAGGAGU
rnacentral:misc_RNA from 1 species